GCUGGAAAAACCACGCCAAUUGAUAUGAUUAUUGGUGAUAAAGCCGAUAUGGAGAAAUCUCAUUCGGUUAAAUUGUUUAAGUUAAAAGCUGAAAUUGGUGAAAUUAUUAUGCCCAGGGGGCGUAGUAAUUGUUCAAUACAUUCGGCAGCCGAUGAUUAAAAAUAUUUCGCCAAGUCAAAAGUAUUUGGAGGUGAUUCUUUAUUCGGCC
rnacentral:lncRNA from 1 species